GCAUUAGUGGUUCAGUGGUAGAAUUCUCACCUUCCAUGAGGGAGAUCUGGGUUAAAUUCCCAGCCAAUGAA
rnacentral:tRNA from 1 species